rnacentral:misc_RNA from 1 species
GUGAGUCAUCGAAUCUUUGAACGCACAUUGCGCCCCUUGGCAUUCCAUUGGGCAUGCCUGUUCGAGCGUCAUCUACACCCUCAAGCUACGCUUGGUGUUGGGCGCCUGUCCGCGUUCGCGGACUCGCCUUAAAUCUAUUGGCAGCGGCUUUGCGAGCUUCUUGCGCAGCACUCUUGCGCACUAGGAGGCCAUCGUAGACUCGUGUCCACAAAGAGCUUUACGUUCUGACCUCGAAUCAGGUAGGGAUACCCGCUGAACUUAAGCAUAUCAAUAAGCGGAGGA